rnacentral:rRNA from 1 species
AACGAACGCUGGCGGCAUGCCUAACACAUGCAAGUCGAACGAGACCUUCGGGUCUAGUGGCGCACGGGUGCGUAACGCGUGGGAACCUGCCCUUAGGUUCGGAAUAACUCCCCGAAAGGGGUGCUAAUACCGGAUAAUGUCUUCGGACCAAAGAUUUAUCGCCUUUGGAUGGGCCCGCGUUGGAUUAGCUAGUUGGUAGGGUAAAAGCCUACCAAGGCGACGAUCCAUAGCUGGUCUGAGAGGAUGAUCAGCCACACUGGGACUGAGACACGGCCCAGACUCCUACGGGAGGCAGCAGUGGGGAAUAUUGGACAAUGGGCCAAAGCCUGAUCCAGCAAUGCCGCGUGAGUGAUGAAGGCCUUAGGGUUGUAAAGCUCUUUUACCCGGGAUGAUAAUGACAGUACCGGGAGAAUAAGCUCCGGCUAACUCCGUG